UACAGAGGGUGCGAGCGUUGUUCGGAAUUACUGGGCGUAAAGCGCGCGCAGGCGGCCUUUUAAGUCUGACGGUGAAAUGCCGGGGCUCAACCCCGUGCCCGCCGCGGAUACUGGGAGGCUGGAGACAUGUAGAGGCAAGCGGAAUUCCGGGUGUAGCGGUGGAAUGCGUAGAGAUCCGGAAGAACACCGGAGGCGAAGGCGGCUUGCUGGGCAUUGUCUGACGCUGAGGCGCGAAAGCGUGGGGAGCGAACAGG
rnacentral:rRNA from 1 species